GGACCUAGGGCUGAGGGUUACAUAAAAGCCCAGCGAAGCUCUGGGCCCAGCACCCCUAAGACCUGCCACCUGCCUCCACACCUUCGAGAGCCUCCUGCACUCCCCACUGGCACCAUGCUCAGGACGGCCCUGGUCCUCUCUGCUUGGUUCGGUCUGGCUGUGACUUACCCCAUCGCAUUCCAGGAAUUCAUACACAUUAUCAAUGACCCGGUGCUAUCUGCCGACCCAGAGCCAGUGGUUGUCCUGGAGCCUGAAGAGCCGGCUGUUGUCAUAGAGCCGCUCACUGGUGGAGAGCUGGUCAUUAACCUAGAGCCAAGUGAGGAACUAGAUUUAACCGCUGACCUAGAGUCCACCACAGACCUGGAGUCGACCACAGACCUAGAGUCGGCCACUGACCUAGAGUUGACCACAGACCUAGAGUCGGCCACUGACGUAGAGUUCUUUCGUGGUGGAGAAUUGACUACUGAAGCGUAUUUGAAGAACACACAGGCUUUUGAAUUGUCUACUGCUGUGGAAUCAAGCACCCUCAGCUUUGAGAAAGAAGCCACUGAGGCCACAGUUGACUACAAUUCAGUUCAGCCAGAGAGCUUUGCCAACAAAGAUUAUGAAGUUGUCACUGCUGCUUAUUUCGAUGAGCCCAUCCUUGUAGCAUCAGAAAAUGAAGCAGAUUUUCCGUUAGCUGUGCCCAUCACUCUGCUAACCACAACUUUCUAAGAAGAUUCUGAGCUUCUGGACAAGCCUAUCAUUUCAUUAUAGGAAAUUGAAUAAUUGUAAAAGACUAUGAGAUAUAGGAUGUACGCAGCUGAGGAUAAACAGAGGAGGGAAUUGUAUACAGACAGAAGAGGGGCAUCUCUUGACCAUGCCCGUUUAAUAUGGGGUCAAUAAAUGUUCCUUUGAAAUAAAUUCUGAGAGGAGU
rnacentral:lncRNA from 1 species